rnacentral:rRNA from 1 species
UACGAAGGGGGCUAGCGUUGCUCGGAAUCACUGGGCGUAAAGGGCGCGUAGGCGGCCAAGUAAGUUGGGGGUGAAAGCCCGUGGCUCAACCACGGAAUUGCCUUCGAUACUGCUUGGCUUGAGACCGGAAGAGGUGAGUGGAACUGCGAGUGUAGAGGUGAAAUUCGUAGAUAUUCGCAAGAACACCAGUGGCGAAGGCGGCUCACUGGUCCGGAUCUGACGCUGAGGUGCGAAAGCGUGGGGAGCGAACAGG